UUGCAUAUGAUGAUAUUUUCCUAUCUCAGGAUUCCCUCUUCUGAGUACGAACUCCUAAAACAACCGUGCUGUUACUCAGGUCUGAAAUA
rnacentral:snoRNA from 1 species